GAUGCAACUUUGAACUACACCUAGGAGACUUGAAGGAUGACCAUCAUUGACUUAUGCCAAGGAACUGAUAGUAAGAAGGAAGAACAACACUUGACUGAUGACCCUGCUUGCUUUGCCUGGCCACUGCAGCUUCCUGAGAUGGAGACUACACCUUCCAAACAUUUGAUCCAACUCAACUUAUGGGCGGUUAGGUCAACAAGAAGCAUAAACUCAAUGCAAGAUUAAAUACAGUGUAGCCCUUGCUGUAUACAGACUGAGGACCGAGAUGGGUAUGGCUAAAAUGAGCAGUAGUUGAUCCAGAUGGAGGACACAUGAGAUGACACUCCUUUUCAAGUGUCUAAAGUAAUAAUUAUCUUGAUUGGAUUUUUCAAAAUCUGCAAGCACUAAGUUAUUGAUUGCUUUGAAAAGAAGAGUUUCCUGUGCAUCUCUGUCCAUAUUUCUCAUCAUUUGUGGGGAGUCGUACUGUUAUCUUUCUUUGUUUUAACAAGCAAUGUCAUCUCAGAUUUCUAAGGUCUGUAUGGGGAAUUAAACGAUUUAAAAUAUCAAGAACGGUCAUUUAAUUAACUUAAUAAGUUUCCUUUGCCAGGAAAAUUUAUGGUGGUAUUAAUUGUGAAGUAAAUCAUGACCAUGUUUUUUGCCAGCCAUUUUUUCCCCUGAAAUUAAAAUGGAACAUAAUAGUCAACCUUUUAAAGGAAAUAUAGAGGAUUUUAGACAUUAGAAACAUUUUCAAAAUCCUGGUUCACUCAAAAGAUAAGCCCCUGUCAGGGUAUUUGAUGUAACAAUGUCUUUUAACACUCUCUUUUUCAACUCUUCGUUGUCGGUGGAUUUUGACCAAAAAUUCCUUUAAAUUCUUUAGGAAGGGACUGCAAUGAACGUGAUGUUUUCAUAUUUUAAUUCAGCCUGGUGUAAAAUGUCCCCAAAAUUUGAAUGCCAUAAUUGAAUUGGGCAUCCAUAGUUUUUAUCCUGAUGCUCGCUUCCACACUGUGCUUCUCCUUUGUGUCGUUUCACCUGCAUGCAUUGUAAGUUUUCACAGUUUAUUUUCACCGUUCUGUAUUGUUUAUUUGCAUGGUUUUUAGCUGCCGCUUUUGCACUUUUUGUUCACAGCACCGGCAUUCCACAACAGGAGAAUCAUAGCUUGUUGGUUGUGAGCAUUUAAGUGGAAAACCGUUUCACCUUUCUGGACAUGUUGGCCUUUUAGAAAAUUAAAGAAAAAAAAUGAAUUCAUCACGUGACUUGCAACCAAAUUGAUAAUAAACAGCCUAGGAUAUUUUGAAAAGCAAAGAUUUUUUUCCCUUUCUCCCUACCCCUGACCUGAUCCCCUUACUCCAGUCCAACAGUUCCUUUUCUCCAAUAAAAUUGUCAGAAAUGAUAAAAUAGA